GCACGUGAACUCCACCGCUUUAAUAAAGCAAAAUUGCCAACAUGCCCCUCUAUAAAUAAAUAUUCCACUUUAGUCCUCUACAAUAUAUAUCUUGAGUUUCAAAGUUCGUUUUUACGUCUAUUUUGUGCAAAACGUCUCCAACUCAAUCAAGCAUAAACUUAUACUGUAACCUUGCCAAUUUGCUAAGGUUCAGUAUAUCAUAUCCUCCCCUCCUAAAAAAAAAGUUUCGUUCUCGAAACUUAAAAUAUACCUCAAACAUGAGUCUCGAACAAGUAGGGAUAGAACUCCCGCAUCACCGUCUCCAGCCCAGAGUCGACAGAGAAGCUACGUCGAUACCAGGAGACGAAACUUAGAGUUCCAGGUUGGAGAUCAUGUGUUUCUGAAAGUCUCGCCGUCCAGAGAGAUACGCAGAUUUGGAGUACGUGGAAAGUUCAGUCCACGGUUUGUAGGCCCUUUUGAGGUAUUGGAGCGAGUUGGACCAGUAGCCUACAGAGUUGCUCUACCCCUACGACUGGCCGGGGUUCAUGAUAUUUUUCAUGUCUCGACAUUGAGGAGAUACGUGUUUGACCCCUCACACGUGAUCGACUUCACUCUGCUGGAGCUUGGCGAGGACUUGAGAUACGAGGAGCGAUCGGUGCGAAUUCUGGCUCGUGAGACAAAAGAAUUGCGCAACCGGAUCAUUCCGUAUGUAAAGGUACAGUGGAGUCAUCACUAGGAGCGUGAGGCGACCUGGGAGCUGGAGACGGUGAUGCGGGAGUCCUAUCCCUACUUGUUCGAAACUCAGGUUUGAGGUAUAUUCCUCGAAACUUUUUUUUUAGGAAGGGAGGAUGUGAUAUACUGAACCUUAGCAAAUUGGCAAGAUUACAGUAUAAGUUUAUGCUUGAUUGAGUUGGAAACGUUUUGCGCAAAAUAGACGUAAAAACGAACUUUGAAACUCAAGAUUUAUAUUGUAGAGGACUAAAGUGGAAUACUUAGUUAUAAAGAGGCUUGUUGGCAAUUUUGCUUUAUUAAAGCGGUGGAGUCCACGUGCUCCCCCCAUCCUUAUUCCUACCGCUUUAAUUAGGUGUGGAGAGGCAGGGAGUGAGGAUAAUUAUCCUUGCUCUCUCUCUAGUUAAUGGUAUGCUUGGUGGAGGCCUCGGGUGGAGUUCGGAUCGACGUCGACGUUGCGCCGGGGAGCCGUUGAGCGUACGUGCGUCGUGGUAGCGCUGUUGGAGGCUGGGCGAGUGCGUGUUUCCUCUCUUUCCGACUUCAAGCUGUCGUGGAUUAGCUUUUCGAGGUGGGUUGAAGUUUAACGAAUUCUUCGGAUUUCCUCCUAAGCCUAGAUGUUGAUAGCAUGUAUUUUUGGCUUCGUAUAUCAUGUUAGUAGCUCGAUCCGCCGAUUUGCAUUAUUUUUAAUGAAAUCUAAAUUGGAACCUUUAAUGCUAGUUUUAUUAUACAUGUUGGACUUGAAUUGACUUAGGAGAAAACUAUAGGUUUUACACUGUCAUUUUCUGAAAACUACCAGAUUUAGCUUUAGGAGCUGUAGUUUGUUUGUAUCGUUGCAGUUUGUAGGCAGUGGAUAUCCAAAAUAGUGUAGAAUAAAUUUACGCUCGUGCUGGGAUGCCGAAAUUAUUUUUACAGAAGUAUAUGGAUUGUUCCGGACUGUCAGGUGUCGUCGCAGCUGACGGUGGAUCCAGUUUGCUAUUUUUGCAUUAGAUUGUAUUGAGGGCACGUGAGUUUUGGUUGUUAGACCAGUUAGACCCUUCUACUUUGACUAUAGCCUGUGAGAGCCUGAUUGAACUCGGCAGAGAUACGCUUGCAUACUCGGUUGGGUAGCACCCACGAGUGCCACUCUGAAGUCGGACUUUCUGCUUUUGCGUUGUUGUCGUUGGGUCCUGUUUGGACUCGCUCUCCACUGACGACCCAGCGUGAUGGUAAUUAAUGUAGCUUCGACAGGCAGGACGGAUGUGUUCAGUCCCUAGUGAGAUUGGAUCAGAUAUUGCAUUUUUAUAUCUACAGAUAGUUAGUGUUGGCUAGCGAUAGUAUAGUGGCAUAUACCUGUAGAGUUUUUCCAGUUUCUUUACUAUCCUUGAGCAUACUUUCUAUAGACUUAGUGAGUGAGCCGUUGAGGUCGGUAGCGGUACCCACUGAGGGCUACUUUUUGCAGUAGUUCUCACACCCAGUUGUUGACCGCUUUUUACAGAGCCUUCUUCUGCAGCUGCUGCUACUGCUGAUACUGAACGUGGAAAGGCUGUUGCGAGCUAGAUCCCUUCCAGACAAGUUGCAGAGUUAGAGGCGUACCUUUCACAGGUAGUUUUGAGGUUCUUAUGUACAAAUGGUUGUUGUUUGGAUACUCGCUGGAGCGAGCGUUGUAGUAGACAUUUUUGUAUGUACUUAAACCCUCGAGGUUUAUAUAUAUAUAUAUAUAUAUAUAUAUAUAUAUAUAUAUAUAUAUAUAUAUAUAUAUAUAUAUAUAUAUAUAUAUAUGUGAGAGAGANUAUAUAUAUAUAUAUAUAUAUAUAUGUUUUUCAAUUUAGCAGCUCUAUAUUACUAGUUGUAGUUUUGUAUGAUUACAGGUACAAGUACAGCUAUCGCUUCGUAUACAGGAAAAAAAUUUUUGUAUACUGCAGACAGACCCGCCGUAUACAUAGAAAUUUUCCCUACAUAGGAAGCGAUAGUUGUACCUGUAAAUAAAUCAAGCUACAACCACAAGGUAAUGAGCUGCUAAACAAAAACGUAUAUAUAUAAAAACUCAAGGGUUCCAGUACAUACAAAAUGUCUACUAUACCACUCGCUCCAGCGAGUACCCAGACAACAAGCAUAUAUACAUAAAAACUCCAAAACUACCUGUGAAAGGUACUCCUCUAGCAAUGUAACCAGGGAAGGGAUCUAGCUCGCGACUUCCUUUCCAUGAUCAGAAACAGCGUCAGCAGCAGCCGUAGACGAAGGCUCUGCAAAAAGGGGUCAACAACUGGGUGUGAGAACUACUACAAACAGAAGUAAUCCUCAGUGGGUACCGCUACCGACCUGAACGGCUCCCCCACUAAGUCUACAGAAGGUAUACAGAAGGAUAGUAAAGGAAGCUGGUAACCUCUACAGCUAUAUGUCACUAUACUAUCGCCAACCAACACUAGCUAUCUGUAGAUAUAACAAGAUGCAACCUCUAACCCAAUCUCACUAGGGACUGAACGCACCCGUCCCGCCCGUCGAAGCUACACCAACCACAACCAUGCUGGGUAGUUGGUGGAGAGCAAGUCCAACCAGGACACUACGACAACAACACAAAAGCACUAAGCCCGACUCUAGAGUGGUACUCGUGGACGCUACUAAACCGAGUAUGCAAGCGUCUCUGCCGAGCUCAAUCAGGCUCUUACCGGCUGUAAUCAAAACAAAUGGGUCUAACUGGUCUAACAACCAAAACUCAUGUGCCCUCAGCACAAUCUGAUGUAGAUACAGAAAUAUGGGUCCACCGUCCGCCACAAUGGCACCCGACAGUCUGGAACAGCCUACACACUACUGUAAAAAUAAACUCGGCAUUCCAGUACGAGCGUAACUCAUCCUACACUAAUCUGGGCAUCCACCAUAUACAAAUAGUGGCGAUAAAAAUGAACCACGGCGCCUAAAGCUAUCCGAGUAUCAAAUGCGCACUCACAGCAUGAGAAGCUAUCCGAAUAUCAAAUGCGCAAUAACAGCGUGGAUACAAAGCGAAACAGCUUCAGAAGCUAUCUUAGUAUCAGAUGCGCACUAACAGCAUGGAUACAAGGCGGACCAGCUUUAGAAACUAAAUUUGGUAAUUUUCAAAAAGUGACAGUGUAGAAUCUAUAUAUUUUCUCCUAAGUCAAUUCCAAGUCCAACAUGUAACAUUAAACUACUAGCUUAACUCCAAAUUCAAAUAUGUGGCUCAGUGUCUGACUUGCUAACAGGUAAAGGCAGAGCAUCGGGUACCUGCUGGCAAACUUCAGAAUCUACCAGUGCCCGAAUGAAAAUGAGAGCAAAUCACGAUAGACUUUGUCGUGGGAUUACUGAGAGCACAGGGUGGUUUUGAUGCUAUUUGGGUGAUAGUGGACAGGCUGACUAAGUCUACUAACUUCCUACCAGUACAGACCACCCGGUCCAGGGAGAGACUCGCUCAAUUAUACUUGUAUGAGAUUGUCAGAUUGCACGGUAUGCCUACCUCGAUAGUAUCGGAUCGAGACGCGAGAUUUGUCUCGCAUUUCUGGAAGUCUUCAGACGGCCUUGAAUACACAGCUACAUUUCAGUACAGCAUUUCACCACAGACAGAUGGUCGGUCAGAGCGGACCACUCAGACUCUGGAGGACACGUUGCAAGCAUGUGUCCUGGACUUUGGAGGAGGGUGGUAUCGACAUUUGGGACUGGUUGCUAUCAAACGAGCAUUCAGAUGGCUCCGUUUGAGGCGUUGUAUGGACGCAUGUGUGGAUCCCCUUGGCAUUGGAGUGAUGUGGGUAAGAGGAAGACUCUGGAACAUGAGAUUCUAAUAGAAGCGGAGGAGAAGGUCAAGGUUGUGCGACAACACAUUUUGACAGCCCAGAGUCGACAGAGGAGCUACGCAGAUAUCAGGAGACAAGACUUAGAGUUUCAAGUUGGAGAUCAUGUAUUUCUAAAAGUCUCGCCGUCCCGAGGGAUACGCAGAAUCGGAGUACGUGAAAAGCUAAGUCCACGUUUUGUAGCCCCUUUUGAGAUAUUAGAGCGAGUUGGACCAGUAGCCUAUGAGAUUGCUCUACCCCCACGACUGGCCGAUAUUCAUGAUAUUUAUUUUACGUCUUGACGUUGAGGAGGUACGUGUUCGACCCCUCACACGUGAUCGACUUCACUCCACUGGAGCUUGGUGAGGAUUUGGGAUAUGAGGAGUGACCGGUGAGAAUUCUUGCUCUGAGGCGAAAGAAUUGUGCAAUCGGGUCAUCCCUUAUGUAUAAGUGCAGUGAAGUAAUCACGAAGAGCGUGAGGCGACUUGGGAGCCGGAGACGAUGAUGCAGGAGUCCUACUCUUACUUGUUUGAGGCUUAGGUUUUAGGUAUGCUUUAAGUUUCGAUGACGAAACUUUUUGUAGUGGGGGAGGAUGUAGUAUCCCUGAUUUUGGGUUGCCUGUGGAUCUCAGCAUCUAAAGCUUGUCCACACAUCUGGAGAGUGUCGGGACAAGUCGGAGUCGUUUUGGCUCGAAAUGGACGCAAAACAGACUCGACGCGAGACGAGAGUGGAGUUCUGAUACUGAAAUCAGCAAAGUGCAAGAUUUCAGUGUUUGUAUUGGUACCCUGUGUGCGAGCUUGCGGGUUGCGAGACCGAGUACCGGUAACCAAAUCGGGAACCGGUACUCCAACUCGCUGUUGAGUUGGUAAAGGACAUUGUUGUAAUUUUUUUUUGUUGGUAGUUAUCUAUGCCACCUACUCUCCCUAUGAUUAUUCACCUGAGAGAGUUUUUUUCAUGUUUCUCUCUUUAGUUUUUAAUCGGGUGCAUGGUGGAGAGCGCGACUCGAGCUCGGGAGAUUUUCGACGUCGUUUCUGAGGGCCGUUCGAGUGUGCGUGCAUUGCGGUUACACCGUUGGAGGCCGGGCGAGCACGUGUUUCCUCCCCUUUUGACUUCUCGCCGUAGUUAGACUAGCUUUUUGAGGUGGGUUGGAGUUUACCGAAAUCGUCGAAAUAUCUUCUAAGUUUUAGCAUUUGUCGACAUGUAUCAUUCGUUUAUCUUCUUGCUAGUACUCGAAUUCAUGGAUUAGUAUUUAAAUCUGAAUUUGGAGUUAAGCUAGUAGUUUAAUUUUACAUGUUGGACUUAAAAUUGACUUAGGAGAAAAAGCUACUAGCUUCAUUGAUCGGGACGCGACAGAUAAUGUGGUAUCAGAGCGAUGCAAGUAAAAGUACAGAAUGGACCUAGGGAUCUUAGAAUGGAAAACCAUAAGGAUCUAGGUUCAUGAGAGGCGAUAGUAUAGGACGCUUGAGUAUAGGUGUCCGUAGAGUAUGGAUUGUGACGCCUUGGACGUACAAGAGAAACCCUGUCGGUUAGGCGGUCUGUUGGCUAAUCAGAUUUUAAACUACGUCAAAAAUCUCCCGAGCUCGAGUCUUGCUCUCCACCAUGCACCCGAUUAAAACUAGAGAGAGGGAAAUAUGAAAAAAACUCUCUCAGGUGGAUAAUCAUAGGGUGAGUAGGUGGCAUGGAUAAUCACCAACAAAAGAAAAUUACAACAAUGCUCUUUACUAACUCAACAGUCAGCUGGAGUACCGGUACCCGAUUUGGUUACCGGUACUCGGCCUCGCAACCCGCAAGCUCACACACGAGGUACCGGUACUAAUACUGAAAUCCUGCACUUUGCGAAUUUCAGCAUCAGAACUCUACUCUCGCCUCGCGUCGAAUCCGUUUUGCGUCCAUUUCACGCCAAAACGACUCUGACUUGUCCUGACACUCUCCAGAUGUGUCGACAAGCCUCGAAUGCUAAAAUCCACAGGCAACCCAAAACCAGGGAUACUACAUCCUCUCUCACUAUAAAAAGUUUCGUUCUCGAAACUUAAA
rnacentral:lncRNA from 1 species